AUUUCCAUAAUCCCCUCAAAUCCUUUUCACACCAUUCCCUUCCUCUCCUAUAAUACCCUGAGAAAUCACGCGGAAUCUUUCCUGAUUUCAUGAGUAAUCCUUCCUUCUUUGUCCAAUGAUUCUCCUUUCUUCUUCCUCUUUCCCCGUUUCUCUCUACGUUUUUCUCUCAAAUCUCAUCUAUGAAACAAAUCUUUUUCCUUUUUCCUCUCCGAUUUCAUACCAUCUUCGUCCAAGUCGUUUCAUUUUCGUCUCUCAACCUCAGAAUACCUUCGUAAAAAUAAAUCUGUCAUUUUUCUCUCCAAAUUUCUGCUCUCCACCGUCACAAAUAUUUUCAAUUUUCUCUCCGAACUCGUAUCUCCCUCCUUCGUUUUGUUGACGACUUUGUUUCCACACGCUGAUUCCGAAACCUUCUCCUUCGCCUCUUUGGUUUCGCUGAAUGGCUGGGCUUCCACCUUACCUCUAAAAAUCUUUCUUGCAUGUUCGAAGAGGAUUCUCGGUGAACAUGCAAGGAUUUCUUCCUUGCCGCUCGGACUUCCCCUUUGCCACUUCUACAUGUGUAUCGAGACCAGUUAAAUGCUACAUCCGGAGAAUGGUAAGGACAUCGAAAAUGUCUGAGCACGAUAGGGAUGAAGGUUCUUCUCGGUUUGAUUCGAAAUCCUUUAUAGCCAAUGAUGAGAAGACAACUACUGCAGAAUUAUCACAAUAAAUUCUCAACAGCUUGGCAAUACUGUCGAUAAUUUCAAGUCGUGAGAUAAAGUUCUGCAACCAUAAAAUAUGAAUUAUAGCCUCAAAGCAUGCUACAAAUUCAACCUCCAUAUAGUGGAUGCAAUGACAAUACACUGCUUCGCACAUUUUUAUGAAAUUGCUCAUUUAGUUAAUAGGAACAAAUAGCCAAAAGUGGAUUUUCAUGUAUCCACACACUCGGCAAAAUCUAAAUCUGAAUAUAACCAAUCACCUCUAGAUGAUCAGAUCUCUUGAAAGUAAGCAUAUAGAACAAGGAUUAUAAUUAAACUUAAUCCCACUGAUCGUUAGGUAUAUACAAUAAUCAACGAUGUUUUCUUUAAAGCUAAAAGAUGUGAUGGUAUCAUUGUAAAAUACCAUCGUGUGGAAGCUUGUUUAAUUCUAUAUAUUGACCUCUUUAAUUUACACACCAUAUGUUUCUUUCCUUCAACGAUAAAACCUUCUAGUUGAUCCAUGAACAUUUCUUCAUCUAAAUUCCCAUUUAGAAAGGCAGUUUUCGCUUCAAUUUGAUGAACCUCUAAAUCAUAUUAAGCUACUAAAGCAAUAAUAAUUCUUAAUGAGUCCAUUUUCGAGAUAGGAGAAAAGGUCUCUUUGUAGUCAAUGUCAUCUUUCUGAGUAUAACAUUUGCAACAAGUUUAGCCUUGUGUCGUCUGAUAUUGCCAUUUGAGUCAAGUUUGGUCUUAAAGAUCCAUUUACACCCAACUCUUUUGCUUUCCUUUAGGCAAAUCUACAAGGUCCUAGACUUCAUUAUCAUUCAUUGAUUUUAACUCUUCUUUCAUAGCAUCUAACCAUUUGACAGAAUUAUCUUCUUUAAUGGCUUGUGAAAACAAAACUAUAUCAUUUAUUAAUAUUUAAGUCAAAUUUCGACUCAUGCAAAUAAGCCACAUAGUCAUAAGAAAUAGCUGAUCUUCUUUGUCUUACAAAUCUUCUUAACUCUAUUUCUUGUGGUUCCUCAGUUACAGGUUCAUUUGUUAUAACAUCAUUAUGUGGUGUUUAACCAUUAAUUUGUUCUUUUUGUGGAUUGUUAAUAGAGUCAACAACUUGAGAAGAAGUUAUAGAUGAAGGAAUUUAUACCCUAACUUCUUGAAUUUUCACUUUACGUGGUUCCAAACUCUCACUAAUUACGUCAUUCUCAAUGAACCUUACAUUUUAAGUUUCAACUAUUCAUAUAGUAUGGUUAGGACAAUAAACUCUAUACCCUUUUGAUUUAUCUAGAUAACCAAUAAAGAAACCGCUAGUUCUUCUACUUCCGCUUGACAACCCCAAACAUGCAGGUAUAUCUUGAACUCACCUCAACUCUUAUUAAGACAAUUCCCUAUCCCUUAACCCUAUGUGCACCCUUCCUUUUUCUUAAGAAUCUAUCCCUGCAGGUUCAAAGAAUAUUGAUAUUUUCUAUAAAAUAUAAACUUAUCUAAGCACUCAAAGCAAUACUGAAAUAAGGAAAGACAUAUCACUUUUCUUUUUCUCCUUACUUAGUCCAACCCUUGGCUUUAGUUCUAUCAACUAUGCUAUGAGUGGAUGAAAGAAAUAAGAUCCUAACAAGGUAAAUCUCCUAUUUCAUGAGGGGACUAUUAUAUAGACAAAAAGCCUAGCCCCUAAAUUAAGAGACAAUAACCGAGGAAAUUAAGAGCACAAAAGUUGGAAGGUAUUUACCUUAUUUUUGAUGGAAAGAGAUAGUCAGCAGAGGUCGUCAAAGACAAAUGAAGGUCAGUAGAGGAUGUGAAACUUAAGAUCUACAAUAUGGUGGAGCAAUUAUUCGGGUCAACAAUUAUAUUUCAGAGUUUAAAAUGAUGAAAAGAGUUUAUAUACUGAGAAUGAUAUUCCACUCAAUGCUUUCACCAUAAAAACGAAGUUGAAAAAAUGAAGAAGAAGACUAACCUCGAAUCAUUAGCUUCAAGUGUCUAAUAGAAGUAGAGAGACGAGUUGGUAGACAAAAAAUCCUAAGCAAAACCCAUAUGGAAGACGAUGAGAGAUUAGAUGAAAUCGAGAGAUCGUAAGUCCGAGAGAUUGUAACGCCCCAAGUUAAGGUAAUUUGUAUUGAUUAUCUUAAGUUAAAAUUUUUGAAAUCUUCGGUGUUAUUUAAAUUCUGUUAUUUAAUUUGAAACUUAUUAGAUAUUGUGGAAAAAUAUCUAAUUGUUUGUAUUUGAGAGAAUGUGAUAAAUUAUAUUUGAUUGUAUAAUUAAUUGUUAAUAGAAGUUAGAAUAUUCAUGAAGUAGGUAGUAUGGUUAUGUAAGGAUAGUUGUUUUGGAAAAAGACAUUUUGUGGAGAGAGAGAAAGAAAUUUAAAAAUAAUAAUUAUAUAAUGGAAAAUAUAAUUAUUAUUUGGAAAAAGAUAAUUAUGAUAUUUAUUGAGAGAAAGGUUGAUGUGAUUGGUGGAAGUAUUGGUUUAAAAAGGGAGAUUUGGUGGGUUUUAAUUAAAGAGAGUGAAGAUUUGAUUGUUUUGAAAUAAAAUAAAUAAUAGGAAAAAGGGAAAAUAAUAAUAGUUUUUUUUAUUAUUUAAUAGGCCUCGGGAACAUCAACCUUCUUCAUUGAGAAACAAAAGAGAAAAGGAAAUCCUAAAUUUUUUUCCAAACCCUAGCCGCCGUCGCCUAGCUCCUCCGCCACGCCGCCACCGUUCUCCUCCAGGUGUAGUUCCGUCACAGCUGAGCCUUGUCGACCAUCGCACGUCCCAGCCGUUUGACAGCCGAUCGUCUGCGUCGUUCCGUCGCUCGCUGUCGCAAGGCAAGUCAUUAGCCGUCGUCUUCAGCCAGGUAGAUUCAUCAAGCGGUCAGCGUCCCGUCGCAAUCCAUCGUCAAUCAUCAUUCGUCGCCUCGUUUUGUUGUCGACCGUCGGAGAUCGCCGCAACUCGAGCUGCGCUGCGUGUCGUCAGAAGACCGAACGCCCAUUCUCUGCGAACCCGACCCGUGCCUUCGCCCAAGCCUGCGCCAACCGCGCGUGCCUUAGUCGAGCUGCACGCCUGCGCCAGCUGCCUUUACCCAAGCCGCUUCAAAGCCUUAGACGAGCCAUCCUUGUUUUCCUAGCAAUUUGAGCCACUUAACCUAUUUUGGUCAAUUGAGGGAUUGAACCGAAGAUUUUUCUCAAACCAAGGAUAAAUUUGGAAUAUUCUUCAACUUUGGGGCUUGAUUGUUGAGGAGCUUGAUCGUGACUGUUAGGAAAAUUUUGCUAUGAGCUAAUCUCCAAACAUGAUUUGAGAGAUCUGACGGGAUUGCUCACGCUCGUGACUGCGUAGUCCGACGGAACCACCAGUCUGACAUUGACAUUGACAUUGACAUAGACAUGAUUUGAGUGAUUCAACGGGAUCACUUACAGCCCGAUCGUCUUAGGUGUUUCCUUGGGUUCACCAAAGACCAGCUUGUUCCUACGGGAUCACAGAUUGCACGUGUUCGGGAACGUGCUAAUUCAGGGGCAGAGGAAGAGGUAAGAGCAAAGGCAAGCUGGCGAAUGACCAGAAGUGACCGUGGCGAGCCAUAUGGAUACGUUUACUUCCGCUUACGUCAUGUGUUAGAUUUUAGAGUUGAUAUUUCCUUUCAUUUUAUUCUAUUUUAUUUAUUUCUUUGUUUUUCUUUCUCUUUAAAACUAGUAGGGUCUGAGAUAGGAUUUGUUUUAAUUUAUUUCCGUACAUUCUAUUUAUGAUUUUAAUGACAAUUCGUAGUUUUGUUUUA